AAUAAUUAUAUAUGCCAAAAUAUUCAACAUAUUCACACUCAAAAUAAAACAACAUCAACAACACUUUCACAUAAUAGCAUCAAGGUUCUACACCUCCAGAUUUCGCGGUUAAAUUUUCCAGCAACCAUAAACCUGCCACAUGCAAAAUGAAAACUAAAAGUCAUAGUUCAGGAACUCAAUCGCAAAACACCCAGAUGCUAGAACCCUACACUUUCCUAGCUUUUCCUUUGUCAUUCUGUCCUCC
rnacentral:lncRNA from 1 species